rnacentral:tRNA from 1 species
UCCCUGGUGGUCCAGUGGUUAGGACUCUACCCUUCCAAUGCAAGGGAUAUGGGUUCAAUCCCUGAUCAUGGAA